UUAUGGGGCUGUCAACACCCAAUGUCCUUGAAAUUGAUGUUACUUAAGCAGAUUAUUAGGGUUCCGUAGCCAAAUGGCAAAAAACGGAACCCUUAUAGAUUCGUCAUGUCUGUCCGUCUGUCCGUGUAUGUCACAGCCACUUUUUUCCGAAACUAUAAGAAGUAUACUAUUGAAACUUGGUAAGUAGAUGUAUUCUGUGAACCGCAUUAAGA